rnacentral:lncRNA from 1 species
AAUGAGCGCCGUGUUUAAACAAGUGUAUAGAACACAUCUGUCCGGGCCUUGGGACUCGAGGCUGUGUGACCAAUUUCAGCAUCUGAAAGUUAAAUUAAUGGUAAAGGGUUUAAUUGUGAGUAAACAAUACCACAUUAAGGAGCAGUAAACACAGCAGUGGGGACCCACCGACCCGCUCUGCCAUCACAGAUGCGGCGGCCUCCAUGUGACCGUUAAUAGUCCCCGCCGCCUGGAAGUUCUGACAGCGCCCUGAAGCCCAUUUGUCAUCUAAAUGGUCCGUCCCCUUCUUAAACAUCAUUUUGGCCCAAGGUCCAUUCAUGGGGCCUGCCGGGUGUUCCUGGGAAGAUGGGCAGAAAAUCCCAAGGCCACCAUUUAGUGCCAAUAAACAGAAGGCCUGGUUUCUUCAAAAGAAACACAAGAAAUUGUUUCCUGGUUUUGCCACAGAGAUUGGGUCACAGAGUGCCACCUAAAUGGUAUUACCAUAUUUGUGUUGUCGCCUCUUGGUUUGAAAUUUAUUCCUGGUAUGACUUGUGUCUCCCCUUGUUCCAUCUCUGACACCCAAGCCCAUGGGAUGACAACCCAGGCUGAGAUGUCCCAUGUGUCACAAAGGAGUCCUUCAGUAUUUCCAGGAAUAGUUGGAACCAGCACUCCAUCCCCUACCUGGACCUGGCACCCUCUCUACUCUUGUCAAUUCUACACUAAUCACAGGAAGAAGGUGGAAUUAGUCCAAGCUGGGUUUUCAGAAAUAACUUGUAGACAUGCAACAGAUGUUUAUAACCCUCAGAAGCGGAAGGAAACUUGGAAACCCUCUCUUUCGGUGACUUUUUUUCUAAUGAUUGUCUCUGCCAUGAAAUUCUAACUUCAAAUGAAAUCUUUGGCAGGAACCCAGGGCUGUUCUGUCAAGGUUCAGCUGCAGGACCAGAGCCCCUUCCACCUAACCCCCACUCCUAUCCUGAUGCUUCCUGAGGCACAUCUGCUGUGGUUUCUCACCAGAGAACAGUCUGCAAAAUCACUGCACCUUGUCCAACUCCAUUUUCCAACUGAGAAGACUUGGCCCAGAGAAGUGCACAGACUUGAGGGAAGUAACACAGCAAUCGGACAGACAGACAUCCCCAGAUAUACCUGCUACGGUCCUGGGAGAAAAUAGAGACCCAUCCCCAAAUACCAUCAUCCUCAUCAUUCUCUGUAGCCCAAUCAAAUGAUGCUCCAGGCCUGAGAUUUUAUCCAAUGAACACUCUGUACAUCUUUAAAAGAGAUAUGUACUUGUCUUAUUCCUCCUUUCCUUUCUUUAAAAAAAAACACAGGCCCCAGAUCCAGUCAUUCUAAAUAGGAAGGAAAAACAUAACCCACUGAGGCAAUGGAUGCUGUUUCUCUCCCUGCUCUGUGACUUUAGUUUGCCUUUAAAGCCCAUUUUCACCAUUUAUUGAUUUUAGUUUUCUACUUGUCUAUGAAUGACAACUUGAAUUAAGACAACGCAGGCUGAAAAGCCGCUAGGCAGUGCUAAAUGGACAAGCUACACUUCGUGGCAGGAUGUCUCAUGACCGUGCCACCUUCUGCCUAGCCCCAUUCUCUGGAGGAGCUGUGGGCAGACCGACCCCAGCCUGGCCGCCUGGCAUGGGGACUGGUUGCGUCAGAUCGGAGCUCUGAGAUAAGGGUGGGCCAGGGCAUGAUCAUCACCACUGCCAGCCUCGAAGCCUCUUUGCUGACCUGGAGGUGAUCUGUGUAUCAAAGGGGGCUGUGUAUUCAACAGCACUUCCAGAAGAGGCCAAAGAUCUGUCUCUACUUCAGCCUCCACUGGGCAGAAAACUAAGCCUAUUUGCUCUAGGCCCUUCAGACUUGCACUUGGAGAAAGAAAACUCACUAAGUCAGCCCUUAUGUAACUCCACUCUCCUCUCUUCCAAACCUCCUUGCUUUGGACAAAUAUUUGACAGAAAAUGCCCUUUUGCAACGCCUUAAAAGUUACAAAAAUGGUGCACCCUAUCCUUUAAUCUGUACUGUAAAUAAAAAAUAUUAACAC